ACGCUCGACUCCUACGGAGGCAGCAGUGGGGAAUAUUGCACAAUGGGGGAAACCCUGAUGCAGCGACGCCGCGUGGAGGAAGAAGGUCUUCGGAUUGUAAACUCCUGUUGUUGGGGAAAAAGAGGAUGGUACCCAACAAGGAAGUGACGGCUAACUACGUGCCAGUAGCCGCGGUAAUCUGAGCGGGCUGGCAAGGC
rnacentral:rRNA from 1 species